UCAACUGUACUUGGAUUUCUGAUAGGAAAGUUAGGUAAGUGUCCACUUUUUGAGCGAGCUAAAAUUUUCGGUUUCUAAACUCUUUUUAAACGACUGAACGCGGUUUACUUGAACAUCUUAAACAUUUUUUUUUUUUUUUUUUUAAGGGCAAUUUUCAAAAUUCUUCAAACACCGCUUGUAUAAUUACUUUAUAUUUUUAACACUGGCUAGCUCUCGAAUUCGUAUGACUUAUAAUUACAGUUAUAAUUUGUAUAAUAACAAUAAUCGUACGCGAAUAAUAACAUAAGUUUCCUCGUCGACCGAAUCUACAACCGUAACUACGGACGGACACGAGACGGGUAUGCAAUGUCUCGAAACGUUCAUGAAAAAAAAAAAAAA